rnacentral:rRNA from 1 species
CCUACGGGAGGCAGCAGUGGGGAAUCUUGCGCAAUGGGCGAAAGCCUGACGCAGCAACGCCGCGUGCGGGAAGAAGGCUUUCGGGCUGUAAACCGCUUUCAGCAGGAACGAAAAUGACGGUACCUGCAGAAGAAGGAGCGGCCAACUAUGUGCCAGCAGCCGCGGUGAUACAUAGGCUUCAAGCGUUGUCCGGAUUUAUUGGGCGUAAAGAGUUCGUAGGCGGUCGAGCAAGUCGGGUGUGAAAAUUCUGGGCUCAACCCAGAGACGCCACCCGAUACUGCUUGACUUGAGUUCGAUAGGGGAGUGGGGAAUUCCUAGUGUAGCGGUGAAAUGCGCAGAUAUUAGGAGGAACACCGGUGGCGAAGGCGCCACUCUGGAUCGAUACUGACGCUGAGGAACGAAAGCAUGGGUAGCAAACAGGAUUAGAUACCCUGGUAGUCCAUGCCGUAAACGGUGGGCACUAGGUGUGGGUUUCUAUUAACGAAAUCCGCGCCGUCGCUAACGCAUUAAGUGCCCCGCCUGGGGAGUACGGUCGCAAGACUAAAACUCAAAUGAAUUGACGG